ensembl:lncRNA
UUUCCCAAACUUUUGACUGGUAGUGUAAUAUCAAUGAAAGUUAAUCUAAUAAACCAUUUUUGUAAGUUUUUUUUAUUAUUAAAAUACUACUACUAAUAAUAAUAACUUAUUAAUUGUAUUCAUUAUUAUUAUUAUUAUUAUUAUUAUUAUUAUUAUUAUUAUUAUUAUUAUCAGCAUUUCUAUUUAUGUGAAGAGCAGGAGAAUUAAAUUCCUAUCCAACAAAAUUAUUUGCUAACGGUUUCAUUUUCAUUGUCAUUCAUCAAGCUUAUAAUACACAUUCAUUGCCAGGCUAAAUAUAUAAUAAAAUAAAAAAAAUAAACUCUUUCAUCAAUAUUAAGGGUGUUGAUACUUCAAGAUUGAUCUGCCCAUCCCUUGUCAAGGCUGUGAUUUUAGCAAGGUAAUGAGUUCUUGUUUACUAAACUGACAGAUCAAAGAAAUUGUGCAAUGACUUGUGUGACGUUCAUGCUGCAAGUGUGUUAAAACAGUGAUGGCAUGUCAGCAGAGUGUGUGUGAGAGCGCUGUGCCCUCUCUGUUAGUGUGAAGGGUACUCAGAUUCCUCUGGCAGCAGGCCUGCUUGGCUGUGGUCUGACUGGCUGUUGUUUUUAUCAGGCUUCUUCACACCAGGCUUGACUCAGGGCACACAGCCCAUGGAUAAGUGAAACAAACACAGCCUGUGCUUAGCAACACUGAGCAGCGUGGCUGAAAGGAGCCUGAUAACCAAACAGCCAGAAGAGGGGCCGUCGUGGACCCCACAGGCCAGGCGCUCAUACUGCCUCACAGACAAGGCCACAGGGAAGGAGGUGUAUUGAUUGUGGUUAUGAGACUGGAUGCAAAGUCAAGCUAAUUAAGGAAAUAUCAUUGAUUUUAUAUCACCCAUGGGCCGGAAGGAACCAGUUCAGGCAAACGAGAUCGAACCAGAAGAGACUCCCUGACCUGAAAACCUUUUAAUGAGGCAACAAUAAAAACAUAGAUACACCCACACAUGCCCAUCAUGCUGCCGAGCCCAAAAGCUGAUAAACCGACAAUUAAUUAAUCAUAAAACAAAGGAUAGUGCAUGUGACAAUAUUUAAACAUCUCGCAAUUAUUACAGUACUGUUUCAAAAUUUUAAUUUUUGUUCGAGAAACCAAUGUUGCUGCAGAAUUUGAUGUACAGACUUAUUUUACAAUGGCUUUGAAUGCAACUUAAGCAGAACUUAAGAGUCAGAAAUAAUGUUUUAUAAAACCAUUUCAUUGUGCAGAAUUAUAUUGUGUAAUGUUAUUUUGGGUUUAAUAUUCAGUAAUACUGCAUUAUUGAUUUGACUGCGCUAAUGCCAUCGGAUGAAAACAAAACUUGAACUGACUUGAACUGGAUGAUGACACUUCUGUCUUUUGUAGAACUGCUUUAUAGCUGAAUCGACUUUUGUUUCAUAAUUGAUGAAUUUUGCAACAUCAACACUGUUACUGAACGGAAUUGAAUCAGCACUGAACUGACUUGAGCUGAAUAACAACACCGCUAUUUUUUUCUCUGUCUCUGUCAGCGAACGGUUGCUUUGCCUGUAUGCCCACUUACAAAUUUUUCAGAUAAGGUUUUAAUCAAAGGCUUUAAAUGAAAAAAAAAAAAUGAUAGUGAUUAUGAUUUUGCCUAGUAGGAUAUCCACUCUUGGAUCAACUUUUGUAGUUGGUCUUGGAAUAACUUUUAUAACAAGUCUUAUAGCCUGUUCUCUCCAAGAAUGAUAACUAUGAAGGUAAUUAAAGGAAUAACUAUAUUCACACCAACAUAUCAACACAAGAUAACGUUCUGUUUAAUAUAAGUAUGAACUGAAUUUAUGACACCUGCUUCUUUAAAUGCUCAGGUUUUUUAAAGAAUGAAUUCUAAAUAGGUGUCAAUGCUUUUUAUCAUUCCUCAGCUCCUGGUGCAAGCUGGUAAAUCUGGC